ensembl:lncRNA
CGACUCUGCAGGAUAUUUGCCUUUUUGCUCUCCUGUUUGACCCCUGUGUAAUAUCUGAAUCUGCUAUAUAUUCCAUGUAUGGUCCUCGUGUUAACCAGGCUGCUCCAACAUGUGGAGAGGAGGAUACAGAGAUUGUGCCGCAACUUGCCAACCCUGCAACUCAUGCCUACUUGAGUUACAACCUGCAGUAAUUAACUGAUUUCUUCCUCUCUGCAUCUGCUCUUCUCUGACCUCGACAACUAGCUCUUCAAAUAAGGAAUAGAGAGCCAGUGUUAAUGUCAUGCUGGCUUGCUUGAUGCUGCUGUUGGAUCUAUGGAAACGAGUAAACCACCAAGAGAAUCAGCUCAUAAGCAGCAGAAAGACAGCACGCCUUGACCUUGUCUAGAUUGAACUAGGAUAGAUCCUGAAGGCGUUUAGACUGAACUCGGCUGUCAGAAAAAAGAAGUAUGAAGCAGUGGGAGGCAAAACGUGUUGUCCUUUGUACAGGCUAAUAAAUCUCUUCAGGCUUGAGUUUGCUGAGGCCAAAAACUGAUCAGAAUAGAAAUGUCAGUGUAUUUGAUGUGAAAUAGUUUGAAUGUAACACGAGUACAGUAAGUGUGCUAGCGUUGUGUGUUGGGUUGCAUGGAUGAAAGGGCAUGUUUUGUCAUGCAGACGCUUGCACAAUGUUGCCUGCAAGCAGCAAGCACUGAUGGAACAUAGCUGCAACGCUCAGCAUCGUGAGCGUCCUCACUCUCACAGGGCUUCCCCGAGGUACAACACUGGACUCAUGAUUUCACACUGGAUUAAUUUCAUUCUGAGCACAAGCCUCUUCUGCGAUACUGUCCAUAGCGGCAAACUGGCCCUCAUGCUGCAGAGCAGAAAGGCAUGUGGAGGAGCUUGCUCUUGCUUACAUACAGUAGAGCCUCAGAGACGGAGACAUGCAGGCUAAGAAUGC